rnacentral:lncRNA from 1 species
CUAGGACAGUUUCAUUAUCUGCAUGAACUGGUGAUGUGGGCAUUGCUGUAGAAGAGAAAGCAAGCAAAGGGUUUUCAAGCUGCAUCCCCUGCCUGUGUGACACAGAUGGACAUUGCCAGCAGAAAUGGUUCACGAGAGGAAGAGGAUUUCCGUUCAUCUUUCCAACUGAAGUUGAGGUCCUAUGAGUGCAUGGACAUUGGAAGCCAUAUGUGUUUGGAUGUUGACCAUGGAGAUGAACCACAGGCUCACCCCUGAGCCACCAGAGAGAGAAAUAUAGUUCAAAGUGAAAUCACUCCUUGUGCCUGACUCUAUACCAGAGUUGUUCUCUCUCCAUUGGAACUUACGCCGGAAGUCCCGCCUCCUAUUUCCUGCCUCAGCCAACAGGCUAUAUCAGCUUUACAUGGAAAGCUUCCAUACAUUAUGUAAGAGA